AACGAACGCUGGCGGCAUGCCUAACACAUGCAAGUCGAACGAGACCUUCGGGUCUAGUGGCGCACGGGUGCGUAACGCGUGGGAACCUGCCCUUAGGUUCGGAAUAACUCCCCGAAAGGGGUGCUAAUACCGGAUAAUGUCUUCGGACCAAAGAUUUAUCGCCUUUGGAUGGGCCCGCGUUGGAUUAGCUAGUUGGUAGGGUAAAAGCCUACCAAGGCGACGAUCCAUAGCUGGUCUGAGAGGAUGAUCAGCGACACUGGGACUGAGACACGGCCCAGACUCCUACGGGAGGCAGCAGUGGGGAAUAUUGGACAAUGGGGGAAAGGCUGAUCCAGCAAUGCCGGGUGAGUGAUGAAGGCCUUAGGGUUGUAAAGCUCUUUUACCCGGGAUGAUAAUGACAGUACCGGGUGAAUAAGCUCCGGCUAACUACGUG
rnacentral:rRNA from 1 species